CUAUUUCUUCGCUUUCUUGGGAGUUGUUGCUUUCUUCACCGGCUUAGCCUUCUUCGAAGCCACCGGAGCCGCCUUCUUUGCAGGGGAAGGUUUGGCAGAUGUCUUCGCCGCCUUAGCCGGAGCAGCAGUCUUUGGCUUUGGGGCAACAGUCUUUGGUUUCAACACAGCCUUCGGCUUAGGUGCAGCAGGCUUGGCUUUGGGCUUCACAGCAGCAGAUUUAGGCUUCGGCUUUACAGCUGCUUUCUUCACCUUCGUAGCAGCAGACUUGGGCUUGGCAGCAGCAGACUUGGGCUUAGCAACAGUGGUUGACUUUGCAGAGGUUGUCUUAGGCUUAGUAGCAGCGGUGGGCUUGGCAGAGAUCUUGUAGGAAUUCUUGACCUUCGUGAGUUUACCAGCGGCGGUGAGUUUCCGCAACUGGACGAGGAGGAGCUUCUUGAAGUUG
rnacentral:misc_RNA from 1 species